UGCAUGCUGUCAUAAUUUGGAAUACAGAAAUUGACUGAGACCUCUCAGAGGAGGCCUAUCAUAAAAUAGGGUAAUAUCUGACUGCAUGCGAAAGACAACAGUUGGCAAAUUCUAGAGACAGCUGCAGUCAAAAUGCCUAUGAGUAACCAGUAAAGAGUAGGACAUAUAUCUACUGGGAGUUUUUGUGUUUUAAAAUGAAUGUCAAGAAAAUAUAAUGAACAUUAACAUCAGCAUCCAAGAGCAUUUAAACAAGAAUGUGUGAUCAACAACAAGCACAUUUCGGGCUAUAUAACGAUUUUAAUGCUGCGUUUGUUACAGUAUGCGCCUACUGGAGACUUUUAUUAUGAAGGCUGAAAAAAGGAACGCCACCAGGAAGUAGUUUCAUUUUUGCUGCAGGCGUAAAUGAUGGCGCCAGCUGCUCUUGUUCAUGUCAAAACACUGACUGGACUACACUUUGCAUAAGUUUAAAAUGGCUUCGUUUGGGUGGAAGAGGAAGGUUGGGGAGAAGGUUUCCAAGGCAACAGUGCAGCAGUUCGAGCAGGAAUCUGAGGAGAA